rnacentral:rRNA from 1 species
GAUGAACGCUGGCGGCGUGCCUAAUACAUGCAAGUCGAGCGAACAGAUGAGGAGCUUGCUCCUCUGACGUUAGCGGCGGACGGGUGAGUAACACGUGGAUAACCUACCUAUAAGACUGGGAUAACUUCGGGAAACCGGAGCUAAUACCGGAUAAUAUAUUGAACCGCAUGGUUCAAUAGUGAAAGACGGUUUUGCUGUCACUUAUAGAUGGAUCCGCGCCGCAUUAGCCAGUUGGUAAGGUAACGGCUUACCAAGGCAACGAUGCGUAGCCGACCUGAGAGGGUGAUCGGCCACACUGGAACUGAGACACGGUCCAGACUCCUACGGGAGGCAGCAGUAGGGAAUCUUCCGCAAUGGGCGAAAGCCUGACGGAGCAACGCCGCGUGAGUGAUGAAGGUCUGCGGAUCGUAAAACUCUGUUAUUAGGGAAGAACAAAUGUGUAAGUAACUAUGCACGUCUUGACGGUACCUAAGCAGAAAGCCACGGCUAACUACGU